CGAGUUGGCCAGACAAUCGCUGCUUAAUCGUUGUAUCUGCUGUGUAAGCGGCAGAUAGACAGAUUGAGGGGAGGAAAGUCCGGGCUCCAUUGAGCAGGGUGCCAGGUAACACCUGGGGGGCGCAAGCCCACGACAAGUGCAGCAGAGAGAAGACCGCCGAUGGCUAUUCUUAUUUAUAAGAGCAGCACAGGUAAGGCUGAAAGGGUGCGGUAAGAGCGCACCGGGCGGCUGGUAACAGUUCGCAGCAGGGUAAACUCCACCCGGAGCAAGACCAAAUAGGGUUUCAUUACUUUAAAUAGUUUACGCGUGGCUCGCGCGGAAACCGGGUAGGUUGCUUGAGCAUGUGAGCGAUUGCAUGCCUAGACGAAUGAUUGUCGCUUUUAGUAUUUAUAUUAGAAGUAACAGAACCCGGCUUACACGGCCAACUCACUAA
rnacentral:RNase_P_RNA from 2 species